ACUUCAAGGGGGGGACACUGAGAAACACAAAUAUACAACUUUCUUUACUAUUCUACUUAAAUGAAGCCAAAAAGACAAAACAAUAACCUGUGGUGCAUUGAAGAAGUCGGUGCCUUUGGACGCUCGUUGAAGGAUGCUGGCGUACAAACGCCUCCACAUUUCUAUAAUAACGUCUAACUAUUUUUUUAACUGAUCUAUCCACUUGUACACCUGUGGACAGAGAAUCCAAACAAUGGCAUAAGUGAGGAGACUAGGUCACCAGCGCUAUGUUUAUUUAAGCAAGUUUACGUAAAUAGAGGAAAGGUUAAAUGAUGUUUACAUUGGCAAGCCGCUAUCUCGUAUGAGCUAACGUCACGAUGCUAGCUGGCUAGCCCCGAUGUAACCGUGAAAUUAGUUAUUUGUAAACACAACAAGAGCGUAAUAACAGUACACGCUGCUAUUAUGGCGAUCGCGUAAUGUAUACCUGAAUAAAAAGACAACUACAAGACAAGUUAUUACCCAACCUUAAUAAAGUAUUGAAUGGGCUAAAAUCAAAGAUGGGCUCAUGUCAAUGACGUUUCACGCGGCGUCAGCGGUGACGAAGCUAAUCAGGAGUGCCUUGUCUGUGGGAGUUCAAACUACUGGAAGAAAUGGACACCAACAACCGCAAUGCCACAAAAACAGAUCUCAGUUUGCUACUGGAGUGUGUCAAGUUCCAGAUGAAUUGUCCUGAUUUGCAGAAGCAAGCUCUUAUCACCAUUAACUCCAUAUGUGAGAAGAGAGAGGACAAUGUGGACCUGCUGAGAGAAAUUGGAGGUGUGGCAUUUUUGUACAGCCUCUCCAAAUCCGGUAUAAUUCAUUCAGAUGUGAGGGUGAUGGCGCUUUUUACACUGGGCACACUAGCAGAAGCCAAUGUGUACUGCAAGAACUUUCUGUGUCGAAAAGAGACGUUCAUGGACCUUGGCGGAUACAUAAUGGAAGAAAACACCUCACUGAAACAAAAGAGUGUAUCUAUCUAUCUUCUGUCCGUGUUGGUAGCCAGCAACAAAGCAGGACAGACUUUAGCCCAAACCACUGGAUGUAUAGAAAUUCUACUGGACCUCUUCAGCUCCACGUUCCCUGUCUCAAACCAAGACUCUCCAAGAGACGUCAACACUGCACACAACCUACGUUUAUGGGUGUCAGUGUCAAGUGCCCUCUGUGGAUGUGUCAACAACCCUCAGAAUGACCUAGCCCAGAGUAUCUGCGUGUCGUCCUUUCCCGACAUAAAAAAGUGGCUUCAUCUGAUCUCUUUGCCCUGCGCUGAGGUCUUUCACCACCUUUGCUCCUUCAUUGCAAUGACAGUUGCUAACAAUGCAUAUGUUCAGGAACAUUUUGCCACUUCUGGGGUGUUGGAAACUCUCAUUUACGCACUGAUCCAACUGACCUCUGAAUCCGAAACAAGCACUUCGUCUUUUCACCUUUCAGUAACGAUAGCCAAGACCCUCUCGGCUUGUGUUGCUGAUAACUCAACCCUGGCUUCAGGUUUGGCCCAGUAUGGUGUAGUAUGUCAUCUCUUCACCCUGCUGGCUGUCCCAAACCUGGACUGCGAAGACAGGCUCACGGUACUCGUCAUGCUGGGUCACUGCACCGAGGCUUCUGAGGAGCACCAGUCUCAGUUGGUGCAGUGCGGAGGCCUGCCUCUCAUCAUCACUCUUCUUGCAGAAAACACCAGUGAGGAGGUCAGGAAGGCUGCAACGUUCAUAUUGCAGACCUGCAAACAGGCCAUCAUGUCCUUGGGAAUGCCUGGUGGGACAGCGCAACAACAACAAAAAGAUGACCAGGUUGUCACAGAAGAAGAGUUGGACCAUCUUUCUCCCCCUCCAGCCACACGAUUGCAGCAUGCAGACCAUUUUACACCAUUUCCUCCCACUUUUGGUGUUUUAAAAAUGCUGAAUGGCGUGAAUGCUAUGAAGGAGGAAGAAGGCAUUAAAAUGAAGAGUGUGAGUUUCUGUGUAAGAACUACAAAAGAAAAGGCUGAAACAAGCAAAGUGGAAAUUCAGUGCUCAGUGUGCAAGGGAACUGGAUCCCUCGUGCCUUCCCGUGGACGGCCACAGGAGGGAGACAGAGAUGUAGAUGCAGAAAACAGUCAUCCAUUGAAACAUGCAGCGUCCCAAGAACAAAAUGUAGCAGGAACAGUUAAAUGCAGUGAUGGAGAAAAGUUGCAGGACAGUGACAGGCUUGGGAAGGAACUCCCAGAGGAAGAACAAACCCGCUGUAAUGAAAGAUGCGCAGGUUGUGUGCUACCUUUUGAGAGAGUAACCAGUCGUAAUUUUUCGUCCCUCCUGUUGUCCUGCCAUCAAAACUGUGACAUGCACAGGGCUCUCCUCAAGGCCACAGAGCGCUUCAGGGCCAAUCACCACAGCUCUCUGUCUGGGAGACAGAACAACAAAAACGACAUAGUGGAUCCGACUGACCUAAAACCUGAGAGAGAGCCAGUAACACUGGAGAGCCGUGCAAACCGGGGGCCAGGGAAGAUUUCUUGUUUGAACUUUAUUGAAAAUAUCAGCCUGACUCCCACCUACAGAGGAGCCAAGUACUCGCUGCCAAGAUGCGGCUGGAAGAGGUAUAACGGGAUUACAUUGACGCCAAUAAGAAGAAACUUGAGCAGGAUGGAAACCUUGGACUUUUUGUGAGGACCAACAGUACCACAUUUUGGGGCAUCAAAUGUUGUCUUGGGUGUACUCCUGAUGUUUCUCCCUGUCUUUCUCUGCUGUGCAGUGCAGCAAAGCCAUAUACCCCACGUUGCUGAGAAAAAAUUCGUGCUAGAGGAACAGCAGUCUCAGUAGGCAAGGACAGACUUCCCGGUCCCCGGCCAUCUCUUGCAGUUCCACCAGAAGAACACUAUGGUCCUCCCAAGCCUACAGCAUUACUGUAGAUGCUGCGCCAAUCUGCCUGUUGACCUUGCAUUCCAAUCUUCUUUUACUCAUAAACAAGAUCCAAAGAUAAUUGAACCCCUCCACCUUGGGCAAGACUUCACACCCAACUCGGAGGGUGCAACUGACUGAGAACCAUGGCCACAGAUUUGGACAAAGUCUCAUCUUGGAAGCUUCACACUCGCAUGCAAACCACCCCAGUAAAUGCAGAAGGUCACAGCCUGAUGAGGCCAUCAGGACCACAUUGUCUGCAAAUAGAAGAGAUGAAAUUUUAAGGCCCUCAAACCGGGCCCCCUCGACAGCUUGCCUGUGCCUAGAAAUUCUGUCCGUAAAACAGAUGAACAGAAUCGUAAUGAAGGACAGUUUUGGCAGAGGCCAACGUUUACCAGGAACAUGCUCUACUUACUGCUGGCAAUGCAAACCAGUCUCUUGCUCUACCCUCCAGUAGUACAGAACUGGUCCAGUAUUCCACAAUUAUAGCCACAAUUUGACUAACCCUUGUCUCCAGGACUCUGGAAUAGACUUUCCCAGGGAGAGUGAGGAGUGUGAUCCCCUUCAUUUGGAACACAACUUUCAGUCACCCCUCUUGAAAAGGGGGACCACCUUGGUCUUCCAAUCCAGAGAUACUGUUCUCCACUUCCACACAAUGUUGAAGAGACGUGUCAACCAAGACAAUCCCUCAAGAUCUGCAUGCGUUGUACCUAGUGGGGCACUGACAGAUGCAAUUGAGGAGUUAUCCAAAAAUAAAAAAUGUGAAGAUGGCACAGAAAUGAAUUUCCACUUGGAAGUGGGCCAUGGGUGGAAUAGUUUCUUUCCAAAACAGACUGUUUUGGAAAAACUAGGAAAUACAGCUGGAAUAGGUGCAGAUUCUGUUACACCUAGAAAGUUUUCUGUGCGGGUUAUUGUGUGUAGCUGCUCUAUAGGAGUCCACAACUCAAUAGAAAAGGCCAAAAAACAAGCAGCAAGGUAUAUAUUUCUUACAAUACAAACUACAGAACCAACAAUAACCGCAUUGUUGUCAUGCAGCUCAACACAACAUAUCACCACAACACU